CGUCUCAGUUCGGAUUGUAGUCUGCAACUCGACUACAUGAAGCUGGAAUCGCUAGUAAUCGCGGAUCAGAAUGCCGCGGUGAAUACGUUCCCGGGUCUUGUACACACCGCCCGUCACACCAUGGGAGUUGGAAAUGCCCGAAGCCAGUGACCCAACCGUAAGGAGGGAGCUGUCGAAGGUGGAGCCGAUGACUGGGGUGAAGUCGUAACAAGGUAAC
rnacentral:rRNA from 1 species